rnacentral:rRNA from 1 species
GACGGAGGAUGCAAGCGAUAUCCGGUAUGAUUGGGCGUAAAGCGUUGGCAGGUGGCUUUUCAAGUCUGCUGUCAUAGACCGGCGCUUAACCCCAGAGAGGCAGUUGAAACUGAAUGGCUGGAGUGCAGAUCGGGUAGAGGGAAUUCCCAGUGUAGCGGUGAAAUGCGUAGAGAUUGGGAAGAUCACCGGUGGCGAAAGCGCUCUGCUGGACUGCAACUGACACUGAGGGACGAAAGCUAGGGGAGCGAAAGGG